AUUUUUUAGACUAAUUAGAGGUUUUUAAUGUUGUAAAGUUCAGACUGAAGUUUCUCCUGAAGGUCCACAAUGAAGUCAGUAUUUCUCCUUUUAAACAAAUCUCACGUUUGAUCAAUGUGUUCGUCCGUCCCUCAAUACCUUCCUGACUGUCGCUCUCAGCUCCAAGCUCAGUGGUUCCUAUCGAAGACGCCAAUCUUCAAAUACAAAACUGUAAUAUAUAUACAUAUAAUAAUAAUAAAUGAAUAUAUAUUAAUUUAUUAUAUAUAUAUAUAUAUAUAUAUAUAUAUAUAUAUAUAUAUAUUUUCAAACCUAAUUUAAAAGUGUGUGUGUGUCCUGCAGACAUUCUGUACUUCUUCGGGGACAACAACGUGACCGAGUGGCAGCUCCUGCUGCAGCAGUACGCGUCUCCACCGUACGUCCUGCCUCGGACCAGCGGGGCGCUCAGCUUCGGCAUCGCAGGUCCUGGAUCCGGGGUCCCCUUCCACUGGCACGGUCCCGGUUUCUCCGAGGUCAUCUACGGGAGAAAGCGGUGGUUCCUCUACCCGCCCGACCAGGAGCCCCACUUCCACCCCAACCGCACCACCCUGUCCUGGGUCACGGAGACCUACCCACAGCUACCGGAGGCCGAGGCACCGCAGGAGUGCACCAUCUCACCUGGAGAGGUUUUGUAUUUUCCGGACCGUUGGUGGCACGCAACCCUCAACCUGGAAACCAGCGUCUUCAUCUCCACCUUCCUCGGCUGAUCUUCAUCUUCGUCUCUCCAGUGUUACAUUCCAGCUUUACUGAGAUUCCAUUUGUUGUUAAAUUCAACCUUGUUUUACAAUAAAGAAACAGAAAUGUAUUUAAAAACCAACGGAGUCGAUUGAGGAGUUAAAAUGUUUUCACAUUGUUUUUGUUCCUUCA
rnacentral:lncRNA from 1 species